rfam:Parastrongyloides trichosuri strain KNP genome assembly, scaffold: PTRK_scaffold0000001
CCAAAGGUUUUCAUUAAAACCACCAUGGAUCUCUUAUGUUUUAUUU